rnacentral:rRNA from 1 species
CCUUCGGGUGGAUUAGUGGCGAACGGGUGAGUAACACGUGGGAAAUCUGCCCUGCACUCUGGGACAAGCCUUGGAAACGAGGUCUAAUACCGGAUAUUACCUGUCCUCGCAUGGGGAUGGGUGGAAAGCUCCGGCGGUGCAGGAUGAUCCCGCGGCCUAUCAGCUUGUUGGUGGGGUAAUGGCCUACCAAGGCGACGACGGGUAGCCGGCCUGAGAGGGCGACCGGCCACACUGGGACUGAGACACGGCCCAGACUCCUACGGGAGGCAGCAGUGGGGAAUAUUGCACAAUGGGCGAAAGCCUGAUGCAGCGACGCCGCGUGAGGGAUGAAGGCCUUCGGGUCGUAAACCUCUUUCAGCAGGGAAGAAGCGCAAGUGACGGUACCUGCAGAAGAAGCACCGGCUAACUACGUGCCAGCAGCCGCGGUAAUACGUAGGGUGCGAGCGUUGUCCGGAAUUAUUGGGCGUAAAGAGCUCGUAGGCGGCUUGUCGCGUCGGAUGUGAAAGCCCGGGGCUUAACCCCGGGUCUGCAUUCGAUACGGGCAGGCUAGAGUGUGGUAGGGGAGAUCGGAAUUCCUGGUGUAGCGGUGAAAUGCGCAGAUAUCAGGAGGAACACCGGUGGCGAAGGCGGAUCUCUGGGCCAUUACUGACGCUGAGGAGCGAAAGCGUGGGGAGCGAACAGGAUUAGAUACCCUGGUAGUCCACGCCGUAAACGGUGGGAACUAGGUGUUGGCGACAUUCCACGUCGUCGGUGCCGCAGCUAACGCAUUAAGUUCCCCGCCUGGGGAGUACGGCCGCAAGGCUAAAACUCAAAGGAAUUGACGGGGGCCCGCACAAGCAGCGGAGCAUGUGGCUUAAUUCGACGCAACGCGAAGAACCUUACCAAGGCUUGACAUAUACCGGAAACGGCUAGAGAUAGUCGCCCCCUUGUGGUCGGUAUACAGGUGGUGCAUGGUUGUCGUCAGCUCGUGUCGUGAGAUGUUGGGUUAAGUCCCGCAACGAGCGCAACCCUUGUUCUGUGUUGCCAGCAUGCCUUUCGGGGUGAUGGGGACUCACAGGAGACUGCCGGGGUCAACUCGGAGGAAGGUGGGGACGACGUCAAAUCAUCAUGCCCCUUAUGUCUUGGGCUGCACACGUGCUACAAUGGUCGGUACAAAGGGCUGCGAUGCCGCGAGGCGGAGCGAAUCCCAAAAAGCCGGCCUCAGUUCGGAUUGGGGUCUGCAACUCGACCCC